CCGCCUUUAGCUCUGCAAGGAGCCACAAUACAGCGCGACACACACACGCGCACACACACACACGCACGCACGCGCGCACGCGACUUUCGUUUCUUGGCGACUUGAUCCACAUUUUACUCUCCAGUCUCCGAAAAAAAAAAAAAUGAAUGUAAAGGAUCUCGCGCUCACGGCGCUGUAGUUUCCGUCCCAGAAUAGGACUGGUAGGACAACGUGCCUUUACUAUACAGAUCGCGUGUUUAAAUCAGAAGAACACCAGCAGGGGAGUUUUGCUUGACUGGUUGAGGUGAUCUGUAGUUAGACCUUUGGAUUCUGGCUUCCUUUGGGACUUUUGAAGCCCUGAGAUCCCCGCGGAUUGCUGUUUCUCUGUGUGUGUGUCUCAUGUCUGGGCUGAUUGUGUCCUCUCUUCACUGGCACCAUGUCGCCCGGAGCGGAGAAAAGACUCGCGUCUCAGAUCAGACUGCUGGAGACCUUGAUCAAGGACCAACGAUCAGUAAUCAAUUUGGAGAGUCUGUUGGAUUCUUUAAAUGCCUUGGCCCUUGAUCUGAAUCACCCUGCGCUGCGGAAGAACAAAAACAUUGAUGCCUUCUUAAACAGAUAUGAGAAGGCUGUAAACCGUCUGAAGGAACUGCAGGUGCGGCUGGAUGAUUUUGACCAAAUCAAAUUAAUCGGCAAAGGAGCCUAUGGAGCGGUGCAACUGGUGCGGCAUAAGGUCUCUAAGAAAGUAUACGCUAUGAAGAAGCUCAGCAAGUUUGAGAUGCUCAAGCGCUCAGACUCUGCCUUCUUCUUUGAGGAGCGGGACAUCAUGGCCUUCUCAAACAGUCCCUGGAUAGUGCAGCUGUGCUGUGCAUUUCAAGAUGAGCGCCAUCUCUACUUGGUGAUGGAGUUCAUGGCAGGUGGAGAUCUGGUAACCCUCACCAUGAAUUACGACAUGCCUGAGGAAUGGGCACGCUUCUACACAGCUGAAGUGGUGCUGGCACUGGAUGCCAUCCACUCCAUGGGCUUCAUCCACAGAGACAUCAAACCUGAAAACAUGUUGCUGGACUGCAGUGGCCACCUCAAACUCGCCGACUUCGGCACAUGCAUGAAGAUGGACAAGUCUGGGAUGGUUCGCUGUGACACAGCUGUGGGAACACCAGAUUACAUUUCUCCAGAGGUGCUGAUGUCACAGGGUGGAACCGGUCAUUAUGGACGCGAGUGUGACUGGUGGUCUGUGGGAGUGGUUAUCUAUGAGCUGCUGAUUGGUGAAACUCCAUUUUAUGCUGAGUCACUAGUGGGAACUUAUGGCAAGAUCAUGGAUUACAAAAAGAGUCUGAACUUCCCAGAUGAUAUGGAAAUGUCUAAAGAGGCCAAAAACCUUAUCUGUGCCUUUUUGACUGACAGGGAUGUGAGGCUUGGGCGGACAGGAGUGGAGGAAAUCAAACGUCACCCCUUCUUCAAGAAUGACCAAUGGACCUUCGACACCAUACGAGACACCAUGGCUCCUGUGGUGCCUGAGUUGAGAAAUGACAUUGACACAAGCAACUUUGAUGAUAUUGAGGAUGAGAAAGGGGAUGUUGAGACGUUCCCACCUCCUCGUGCAUUUGUAGGCAACCAGCUACCUUUUGUUGGAUUUACAUACUUCAGGGAGGACCAGUUGAUGAGCAAAAAACAAAAAUAUGAAGAUGAGUAUGAACUCUGUAUUGAUGGUUUAGUAGAAAAGGAGGACCAGUCAGAGAGAUCUGAGACUGAAGAUGUGCAAAAGAAGCUGAUUAAGAUAGAAGAGAAGUUUAAACAUGAGAUGCAAGCUAAGAAUGAACUGGAAAACAAAUGCAGAAGUGCAAACGAGCGACUAGAUAAACUGUCCAAGGAGCUUGAAGAGGAGAUGAGUGCAAGGAACAGAGCAGAGGAUUCCCUAAGGAAACUGGAGCGAGAGAAAGCCCUGCUGCAGCUCCAGAGCACAGAGAGCCUGAGAAAGGCUGAACUCGAGACAGAGAGAAAACGCAGCUUAGAAAACGAAGUGAGCAGCUUGAAAGAUCAGCUGACUGAGCUGAAGAAGAAGAGCCAUAACUCACAGAUCUCCACUGAGAAAAAUAUCCAUCUAGAGAGACAGCUGGAGGAGGUGAGUGCUAAGCUGCAGGCAGAGGUGGAGGAGUCAGGCCGAGUGAAGAAAGCUCAGGCCGAGGCAGCGAGACAGGCACAGCAGCUGGAGCUUUUACUAAGGGAGCUGCAGGAGAGACUGGUCCAGCUGGAGAGCAGCCGACUUGGCCUGGAGCAGGACAACCUCAGCCUGCAGAGUGCCCUAGAGACUGAGAAGAGGGAGCGCAGUCUCAGCUCUGAGAACAUCACUGAGCUGCAAGUGUGUGUCUCAGGUCUGGAGGAAGAACUGAAGCAAACAAAGAACUUGCUCUCUAAGGCUGAGGGUGAGAAGAGACAGCUACAGGAGGAACUGACUAACUUGGAGAAGUUAAGGAGUCAGCAAGAGAUCGACUUUAGCUUCAAGCUAAAAUCUGUUCAGCAACGAUUAGAGCAAGAGGAAGAGGAGCACAACGCUGCAAAAACCCGACUCGCUGACCACAGCAAGCUCAACCAGUCCAUUGAGGAGGCCAAGUCUGAAGUGCUAAGGGACAUGGAGCGUAAGCUACAGGACGAGCGCUCCGCUAAGCAGCAGCUGGAGAGUAAGCUGAUGCAGCUGGAGAAACAUAACUCAGUCCUGGACUGUGAUUAUAAACAAGCACAGAAUGAGCUCCAAGAGCUUCGCUCACACAAGAACAAGCUCACAGAGGAGCUGGAUUUGCUGACUGUGAGAGUGGAGCAGGAAACGCAGCGUCGGAAUCUGUCCCAAGCUGAUCUGAAGGCUCAGAGGAACGAAGUCAGCACGCUGCGCUCUUCUGAGAAACAACUCAAACAAGAACUCAACCACCUGCUGGAGCUCAAACUCAGCAUGCAGAAACAAAACCAGGAGCUACGCAGGGAGAGAGAAGUUGCCGAUACACAUCUGAAGGAGUUAAAGGAUCAGCUGGAGGCAGAACAAUAUUUCACAAAACUAUAUAAGACUCAGAUUCGAGAGCUGAAGGAAGACUGUGAUGAAAAGACUAAACUCUACCAGGACGCACAGCGGAGACUGGAGGACCUUCAGGAGGAGAGGGACUCUCUGGCCACACAGCUGGAGGAGAGCCUGACAAAGGCCGACUCAGAGCACUUGGCACGCUCCAUUGCUGAGGAGCAGUAUUCAGACCUGGAGAAAGAGAAGAUUUUGAAAGAGCUGGAGGUCAAAGACAUGAUGGCCAGACACCAGCAGGAGCUCAAUGACAAGGACAACACUAUCAGCUCGCUAGAGGAGUCUAACCGCACUCUGACUGUGGAUGUAGCCAACCUGGCCAGUGAGAAAGAGGAGCUGAAUAACCAACUAAAAGACCUUCAACAGCAACUGCAAAAAGCCAAAGAGGAAGAGAAGCAGGUUAGCGCCAUGAAACUGUCAUUUGAGAGGCAACUUCAGUCUGAGCGAACACUCAAGAUCCAGGCUGUUAACAAGCUAGCCGAGAUAAUGAACAAGAAGGAUGCGGUGCGCAGCGUUCACCGUCCAGAUGAUGGCACUCUGAGAAGGAAGGAGAAGGAAAACAGGAAGUUGCAGCUGGAGCUGCGCUCCGAGCGAGAGAAGCUCAACAGUACCAUCAUCAAAUACCAGAAAGAGAUCAGUGACAUGCAGGCUAUGAUAACGGAUGAGUCGCAGAUGCGUGUGGAGCUGCAGAUGGCUUUGGACAGUAAGGACAGUGAUAUCGAGCGUCUGCGCUGUCAGCUAACUUCACUUAGCAUCCAUUCCUUAGACACAACUAGCAUCAGCAGUAUGGGCAAUGAGCAGGACACUGAUGAGCCUUACCCAGUGCGCAUCACACAAACACAAACCUCAGAGUCCAUGUCGUUCACAUACCAGCGAAGCUCCAAGCGGGUGUGUAUUGACACCCGGCCAAGCCUCAUGUGCCCCCUCUUCCCUUCUGAGCCUGAGGAAGAGAACGAUGAGGAAGAGAGGGGUCAGCCUCGACUGGCUUUGGUUUGUGAGAGGCCAGCAAAUGUUGAGCCUGCAGAUGCUAGUCUGGAGGGCUGGCUGUCACUUCCAAGCAAGAACACCAAGAGGUUUGGAUGGGAUAAGAAGUACGUGGUGAUGAGCAGCAAGAAGAUCCUGUUCUAUGACUCAGAGGAAGACCGUGAUCAGGCCAAACCAUUUAUGAUACUGGACAUCAAUAAACUCUUUCAUGUACGACCUGUGACUCAAACAGAUGUAUACCGUGCAGAUAUUAGAGAGAUCCCUCGCAUUUUCCAGAUCCUCUAUGCCAACGAGGGUGAGAGUAAGAAUCAGGAAGCAGCCGUGGAGCUUUCAGUGACCGAGAGAUCAGCGUACAUCCCUCACAAAGGCCAUGAGCUUGUGCCCACACUCUACCACUUCCCCUCCAACUGUGAGGCGUGUGCUCGACCCCUCUGGAAUGUCUUCAAGCCCCCUCCAGCUGUGGAGUGCCGUCGCUGCCAUGUCAAAUGCCACAAAGACCACCUAGACCUCAAGGAGGAAGUGCUUGCACCCUGCAAAGUGAACUAUGAUACAGCUAAAGAGCUGCUGCUGCUGGCCAGUUCCUCAACUGAGCAGCAGAAAUGGAUCAAUCGUCUUCUGAAGAAAAUUCCACGCAAACCCUAUACUCAGACUGUGGCAGCCCCUCAUGAGCCUCCAGUGGUGUCACCGCUGCCCUCGCCCCGUCUCUCUCCAAGAAACUCGCCCAAACUCACCCCCAAAGGAGCCAUCAGAGUGCACAGCAGAGGCCCACCACCCUCUAGCAAGCCCAGCUCUGGCCCCAUGCUCCGAAUCAUUCUCCACUGACCCCUGACCUUUCACCUUCACCCUGUGGUGCUGUGUAUGUGCGUGGACACAUGGUAGAGUUUGACCUGGAGGCCUGGGGUUGGGCUCUUCGUGAUGAUGAUGAUGAUGAUGAUGAUGAUGAUGAUGAUGAUGAUGUGUUUGACUUCUGAAGAUGUGGGAGACUGCAGGCUAACCUUAAUGGAUACUGGAUUGCACUCAGCGUCAUGUAGCAGAUGCUGCAGCACAACAGACAAUACAGAAAACAAAGGACGUGAAAACAAUGACGUAUUGUAGACACACUGCCAAUCAACACUCUGUAAAUUAGCAGACCUGAAGAUGUGCCUUAUACUAAACAUUUUACAGCAAUAAUAUUACAGUGUGAAAAUGCAUGAAAGUAUGAAAAUGUUAUGUUUGGUUAUACAGUAUGGCUGCUUAUGUCUGUGUAUGGAUAAUUAGAAAUAUGACAGAAUGGAUUUGUAUAUUCAAAUAUGAUCUAUUUCUGUAAGGGAAACACUCAUGCAGUGCAUUGCAAACACUACAUUUUUACUGUUAAAGAUUAUUUAAUGCUUCAGAAAGAGCUGGACUGUGGUAUAUAUUUGAAAGAAAGAAAAAAUAGGCAAAACAUUUUGAGUUUUGUUUUAAAGAUGCACUCCACUGCACAGGUUUACUUCAAGCGUUGCAAGCCUUGUCAGUUCAUAACUCUGGAACUACCUACAGUACAAAGCAGAAUAUGCAGUGCUGGUCUAAAUGAUUUUCUUUAACCAUGAUGUGUGCAGUAGAACGAAGAGGCCACUGACUAAAUACUUUAUCAGAAGACAGAAUUGAAUAGAAAAAAAAGGGUGACAUUAAUUAAUUACAUACAUACAUACAUGCAUGCAUGCAUACACACACACACACACACACACACACACACACACACACACACACACACACACACACUAUGCAUGUUUAGAACAAAUGCAUAAGAACUACAUUAGUAUAGAUCACAGGAAUUAAGUUAAUCCAGUUUCACCAUACAAAUGUGGUUGUGUUUUGUUUUGCACCGGUGCAUCACAUUAAUACAUUCACAUCUCUUUUGGACUUUGUCUUUAAAUUGUCCUUAAAUAAUCUGGGUUGUUUUUUUUUUCCAUUUCACUUAUCAGACUAAAUUGGAUAAAUAAAAGAUGACUCUGUUGACUUUC